UACGGAGGAUCCAAGCGUUAUCCGGAAUCAUUGGGUUUAAAGGGUCCGUAGGCGGUUUGGUAAGUCAGUGGUGAAAGCCCAUCGCUCAACGGUGGAACGGCCAUUGAUACUGCCAGACUUGAAUUAUUAGGAAGUAACUAGAAUAUGUAGUGUAGCGGUGAAAUGCUUAGAGAUUACAUGGAAUACCAAUUGCGAAGGCAGGUUACUACUAAUGGAUUGACGCUGAUGGACGAAAGCGUGGGCAGCGAACAGG
rnacentral:rRNA from 1 species